UUUUUUUUUUUGGCUUAGAGACGGGACAUUAAAUGAACUCUCUUCAAACCAAAAGUUAGACAAACCAACAUUAUGUAAAUGUAGGGAAAUUCUUUAAUUGUCUUAUAUAACACCAAAUACUCUUUACCAAAAUGUAAAAUCUACCCAUUAUUAUAGAUAAUAGGUCUCUUAAACCCAAUUAGUCUGUAUGCUUAAGUAUCUAAUGAAAUUAAACUAGAAUACCUUUCUAAUUUGAACAACACUAUCGACUUCAUUAAUUAUUUUGGAUAGAAAUCAUCAUUUUAUACGUGAAAAAAAUUAUAUAUAUCAUCACACAUCAUUAGAAACAACAAAUCUUAACAUGAAUUUUCUCCAAAAAUUAUUUUGAAAAUGCAAAAAAUAUCAUCAAACAUGUCACAGAAAUAACAAUCCAAAUGGGCUCUUAAGUUUUCUUCAAAAAUCAUCAAACAUUUUUUUAAAAAAUGGGCUCUUAAGUUUUCUUCAAAAACUAUUCAAAAACUGCAAUCCGAACGGGCUCUCCCAUGUGGAUUGCUAUUUUCAAAAGUCUUUGUAAAGUAAUAUAUGGCAGAGAUUUGAUAUACGUAAAUUAAAAAAAAAAGAUAAUUAAAAAAAAUGUUAACAAAAAUCUAAAAAAUUUUUCAUGGAAAAUCAGGGUCCAAACAAGGUACGGUACUUGCCGCCAUUAACGUGGAGUCUAGUGUACACUCCACACUUGAGUGGAGUACUUCUUGUCUGUGUAAUUGCAUCAGCCCUUUACCUGUUCUCUGCUGGUUUCAGGUUUUGGAUGGGUUCUUGAGACCAAAAAGAGCCAAAAGCAGCAGCCGGAAACCCAACAUCUUUGCUGCUGCAGCAGCCCAGUCAAUUGCCGGAAAAUCAAAACUCAUCCUCGGAGCUCCAGGUCAUGGACCCUUCUCCUUCUCCUCCUGUUCAUCAUUUUGCAGCGGCGAGUGUUAUAGGCAACAAUGAAGAAAUCUUAACAUGUCUUUUACUUAUUUAACCCCGAAAUCCCUGGGAAGGAUUUGAUGGAUAUUUAUUUUGUGAAUGGAGUGUUGUGUGAUGGUGAUCUUCAAUGGCUAAGUGGAUGGAGGGACCCUCUGUGUUGAUCCAGACAAAGAAUGCCUUGACAAUUUAUUUUCUUCAUAUACAUUACAGUAAGUGGGAUAUUUGGUACUUUGGAGUGUCUUGAGGCUGUUUGUAUCUUAUUGAGGUUAAUGAGCCACAACGGCUAUUCUUUGACAUUUUUGAGAUGAAAAGGGACCAUUCUGAAUGGGUUUUGAAGUAUCAUAUAGACUUCAAUCCACUUUCAAUUUUAUAUCCUUCAAUGGUGGACGAAGGCCUUAUUUCAUUUGAUGAAGAUCAAUGUAGAUUUUGUAUACCUUGCUUGGUUGAGGAUGAGAAAGAAAGGAAACCGAGACUUGUGAUUGCUCUGCUGGGUAAGGUAAUUUUAUAUGAGAUCAAGGAUAUGGUUUUUAAGGAGCUCGUUGAAGUAGGGCCUGUGGAUGUUGAUCAUGAGUGGAAAUGUAACUCUUAUUACUGGACAGAUGCUUGCCGGUUUGUGGAGACUCUUGCUAGUGUUUGAUUGUUAUCCAUAACAUGCUACUAUAUGUAUCAAGAGGCUGCCUUGAUGUACUAAAUAAUAUCCUCCUGGUUGAAUAUUCAACGGUAUCAUUACAUUGUAUGAAGUUCCAUAUUUUCUUAAUCUGUGUGGCCUCACAUGUCAAAUGAUCAGAGGAGCUCCAAAACCAAUAAGCAAAAGCCAGAACCCCAGCUACUCUGCUGCAGCAACAAACUAGCCAAUUGCCCAAAAUAAAUAACUCAGCCUUGAAACCCCAAGCCAUGGAACCUUCUGAUUCUCCAUCUCCUCCUCUUAAUCAUUUUGCAGAGCCAGAACCCCAGCUACUCUGCUGCUUCAACAAACUAGCCAAUUGCCCAAAAUAAAUAACUCAGCCUUGAAACCCCAAGUCAUGGAACCUUCUGAUUCUCCUUCUCCUCCUCUUUAUCAUUUUGCAGCAAUUAUUAUAGGCAACAACAAGGAAAUCUUAAAGUACCUUUUACUUCACUUACCCCCAAAAUCCCUCAUUCGAUUUCAAUCCGUCUCCAAGCAAUGGCUCUCAAUCAUUUCCAGCGCCACUUUCAGGCAUCUGCAUUCUCAAUUUUAUCCCACCACCACAAUGACGACUUCCUCCUCUGGCACUGCUGCAGACUCUGGAGCCUUUGUUUUCAUCCACCAGAACUGGGACAAGCUUAAUUUUAUUUCCUUCCACCAAGAAAAUGCAAGUUCAGUGGGCACCACAUUUUCCAACUUGAGCAAUUUCAUUUCCUUUCAAGAUGGGCAGUUUCAGGGUUUUCAUUAUUGCAAUGGGUUAUUAGCUCUUGUGUUUCAAUCAAAAGAUGAUGGUCACAAAGACUUUCUUGUGUGUAACCCUACUAGCAGUCAGCAGAGGCAUAUUCCAAGGAUCAAUCUAUUGGAAAGGGAACGUCGCUUUGCGGCUCUGAACAUUGUGUUUCAUCCUGUAGAAUCUGAUGACUACAAACUUGUCUGUGUAUGGUCAGAACGUUACAUGCCAAGGAAUGAUGCGAGUCAAACCCCUCUAAGGAGAUAUGAAUUCUCUAUAUAUUCAUCUGAAACUGGGACUUGGAGGGACGCUAAGGCCAUAAAUGGGAGGGACUUUGUGUAUAUUUAUUUCAUGAAUGGAAUGUUGUGUAAUGGUGAUCUUCAUUGGGUAAGUGGUAGGAGGGAGACUUUAUGCUUUGAUUUAGAUAAAGAAUGCCUUAACUUAACAGUGCCUUCUCCUCGUAUGCAUCAUAGUGAGUCGGAUAUUUGGGACUUUGGAGUGUCUUGAAGCUGUUUGUAUCUUAUUGAGGUCAAUUGCCCACAAGCGCUGUUAUUCGACAUUUUUGAGUUGAAAAGGGACUAUUCUGAAUGGGUUUUGAAGUGUCAACCAGACCUCUCUCCUGUUACAACUUUGUAUCCUUCAGUGGUGGAUGAAGUUUCUGGUCCGUUUGGUGAUGGUCGAUGCAGAUUUUGUAUAACUUGUUUUCGUGAGAAUGAUGAGAAAAAGCCGAGGCUUCUGAUUUCUCUGUUGGGGAAGGUAAUUUUAUAUGACGUUGAGGAUCUGACUGUUAAGGAGCUUGUUGAAGUGGGGCCAACGGAUACUGAUCAUGGCUGGAAGAGUAACUAAAGGGUGUGGAGUUACGUGUUAAGAUAAUUUCAAAUGCUAAUUUCUUUAGUAAGAAUAAAAUUAAUUUGGAAAAGUAUCUAAAUUGAAGAGAUAAUUAAUAUAAUUGUGUAUAUCCACAUUGUAAUUAUGUUUGGCGUAUAGUAAAUUAAGUGUAAUUAAAGUGUUGGGAGCACUUGUUAGAAAAACCUUUGGUAAAUUGGAAUUAAGAAUGGCAUGAAUCAUAACAUGAAGUCGCAGUGGAGGUUAGUA